AUUCCAUGAUGAAGACACUUUCGUAAUAAUUCCUUAAACUGCUCUUAUGCCUCAUAUAAAGAUUUUUCAUAAUUUGUUGAAAUGAAGUGAUUUCAAUUUGAAGCUU
rfam:Gossypium arboreum cultivar AKA8401 contig_4462_5, whole genome shotgun sequence.